rnacentral:lncRNA from 1 species
CUGGAACAUCUCGGCAAGUGGCACGAACGCAUCAACCACCUGUGAUCAAUAGCAUUGUAAGGUAAAUGUUUCUGGCCACACUUCAAUUAGCAGACUCUGAUAAACUAGGCUAUGAAGGUGGAGGAUGCACUAUUUCAUACCUUGAGUCCACCAGGCUUAUCCCCGAAGCUGUUAACUUGACCUCUUCUAGAGUUCAAAUCACCAAUAACAUCGCCCAGAUGGUCUUCAGGAGUUACCACUUCAACUCUCAUUAUAGGCUCCAGAAGUCUUGGACCAGCUUUCCUCAUUCCUUCACGGAAAGCGCCUCUGGCUGCAAUUUGGAAUGCUAAGACACUUGAAUCAACAUCAUGGUACGAGCCAUCAACCAGCACUGCUCGGAAGUCCACAACUGGGUAACCGGCAAGGACACCGUUGGGUAAGCUUUCUUC